GAACUUUCUGCGGCAGGAGGGAAAAACACAAAUGCCAAAGCAUCACGUAAAAAUUCAAAAAAGGUUGUCAUCAAUCAAUUGAAAGCACCUGCAAGAGACCGAAAAGGGAAAUCUGGUCCUGCCAAUCUAAUAACAAUAAAAGAUGUUGGACCUCGGAGAACCCAAAAAGCUGAGCCGCUGGUGAAGGAAGAGGGAGAAAUGUCUGAUGAUGAGGAAGUUUACGAGCAGUUUAAGGAGCAGAAAUGGAUGGAAUGGUGUGAGGAUGUAUUGGCUGGUGAAAUCAAAACACUUGAACGUCUACAAAGAUUGCAAACAAUUAGUGCGGAUCUGCCAAAGGAGAAGGUUUAAUUAAUUCUCUUCUUUAUUUAAUCCACCAUCGUCCAUAGUGGUGGGCGUGCUGCGUCUUUUAUAAUCUUAAAAAAAAUUCCAUGUGUGAACCACAAAUAGGUGCUUUUCAAAAUCCGGAGAUAUUUGCAAAUCCUUGGGAGGAGAAUAGAUGAAGUUGUUUUAGAACACGAAGAGGAUUCGUACAAGCAAGAUAGUAAGUACACCUCUCUCUUGCUAUAGAUGAUAGUGGGAAGAGUCCUUUGCUUUGAUUUAAAAAUCGAAAUAUGCAGGAAUGACAAUGAGAUUGUGGAACUAUGUUUCAACUUUCUCAAAUCUGUCGGGGGAUCGACUCAAUCAGAUCUACUCCAAAUUGAAGCAGGAGAGAGAGGAAGAAGAAGGGGUUGGACCAUCGCAACUCAACGGCUCAACAGCCGGUAGGAGGCAACAAAGAUUCAAAACACCAGGACCUCCGCAAGUUCACAAGGGCAUUGACACAGCAAAAUUUGAAGCAUGGAAAAGGAGAAAAAGAACAGAAAAUAAUGAUGUUCAUCAAUCUGAGCGACCACUGAUGAGCAACAACUCUAACUCACUGGGAAUACUGGGCCCUGCACCAUCUGAUAGAAGCCAUCGGGCACGCCAAGCUGGAUUUCCGCCAAGAUAAGUUUACUCUGGUACUAGUAACCAUGCAAUAUGCUCUGAAUGUGAACUCUGGAUUCUCAGUAGUUCAAAAACAUAGAUACCCCCGGAAGAUUCAAUUUCUUUUUCCGAACACUGCAGCAAUGUUUGGUUUUCUGGUUGCUCAAAUUGGAGAUUUGCAUGCCCGACCAGCUGAUGCGGAAUGUUACAUAUAUAUGAUCUGAGAAACUCACAAAUUUUAUUAUUGAGCCAAGGGAUGAUAGUACUUCAUGCAUAGUGCUUUGCUUAGGUGAAAUAGCUGUGGAUGUUAGUCCGAACUCCAUUUCUUUUAUAUAUGUUAUUACCCUUGGAAUAGAGCAAAAUCAAACUGUACAUGACCAGUUUUGUUUAUUUUAAUUUCCAUAUCCCCUCUCUUAUAUUUCGCAUUUCGAAAGUUGGUUUCUAUGAAAAAGGGCAAUUGCGCCAUGAUUUGUAUAUUUACUUGCUCAUAUCUUUCGCUUUUGCUGAAGAAAACAAUUAGAGUAACUUUGUAAACAAGUUCUGUCGGUAUGUAAUAUGGACUGCUGGGAUAUGUUCCCAAUAUUCGUCAAGCUUAAUUGGGCUGAAAUGCUAUAAUACAUGUAAACUCUAUGAUAAGAAAAACAAGUGCGGCAAACUUGAGGCAAACUUGAGAGAUCAUUAGUGUGAUCAGAGCAGUGAAAUAGGUGGGAUAUUUGGUAAUGAAUCUGACAAUUUUGAAACUCGGAAUGCACAUCUGUUACUCUAGUCCUAUUACAGCGGUGUCUUUAUUAUUCAUCUCUUCAUAGAGAGUUUACUGCCAAAGAAGUAAAAAGCAGAAAAAGUCUAAGAUACCUUCCUUGAGCAUUUUAGUUUGGGUUUUAAGAAAAAAAUAACAUAAUUUAAAAACUUGCUAAAACCACUAGUUGUAGAAAUAUUUCUAGUUUAUCAAAAUUUUUGGUUUGCAAGAAUAUCAACAAGAUCUUGUUGUAGAAAUAUUUCUAGUUUUCGUCUUUAAUUCGGUUAGUUCGGUAUCAAAAAAAUAUUACUGAAGUUUUUGGCUUGCAACUAGCUCAGCUAAUUUUUAGUGGUUAGUUUGGUUAUUUCGAUUCGGAUUUCAGAUUAGUUUGGUUUGUUAGAAAACCAAAGUUUACCGAACUAAACCCAAUCUUCAAACCGAAUUAACCAAACACUGAAAUUUACGGACCGGUUCGGUUUAGGUAAUAACCGCAGGCCUAUUUGCGGCCAUUGUUUCAAGAAUACUCUUGUUUCAAAAACAAGUUGUGUGGCUCGGUCCCAUUUAUCUCCUUAUCUUUCCUCUUCACUUUUCCACCUCAAAUCUUCAUUAUUUUAUUCUAUUACAAUCUCCCUCCCUCAUACUUUUCAUCCUUUUGUUUUAUCCCCCAACUUUUGUCAUAGGUCAAAGCCCACCCACCCACCAUCUCACAAUUAUUCUAGAGAUGCACUAAAUAAGCAAGAAAUAUUUUUUUUUGUCAAAAAUAAGCAAGAAAUAUAAAAUGAUAAAGAGUAGAAGAGCAAAUAUGCAAAAAUUUCUGCCAGAUUUUCUUUCGAUGUUUAACUUGUAACCAUUGCUUAUAUUCUAGAACGAGCUUUCUGCAAUAUUAAGAUUUGGAGCGGAAGAACUUUUUAAAGAGGAUAAAAAUGAUGAAGAAAGCAAAAAGCGGCUGUUAAGUAUGGAUAUUGACGAAAUCCUAGAGAGGGCAGAGCAAGUAGAGGAAAAGGAUGCUGGCGAAUCAGAGCAUGAACUGUUGGGUGUUUUCAAGGCAAGUUCAUAUGUUUAUUUUUCCCUCUUUUAUUUGUUCGCCAGGAUAGCAAAGCAGCCCAAGUCUGCUUUGCAGGCUUCUUGGCAUAAUUUUUUUGAAUCUAUUUUUCAUUGCUUAUGUUUGUAAAAUAUCUUCCUCUGCUAAUUUUUCUGUGCAUUCAGGUUGCUAACUUUUGUAACGCUGAAGAUGAUGGGUCCUUUUGGAGUCGUUGGAUAAAACCUGAAUCUGUGGUCACAGCUGACGUAAAAUUUCUCUCUUCAAUAAUAAUACGACCUCCUUCCUAUGUCAUUUUUUUGUCUAAUUAUAAAUCGCCGUUUGUGUUAUCGUUUGUACAGGAAGCUCUUGCACCACGGGCUGCUAGGAAUACGAAGAGUUAUGUGGAUCAUGAUAGGAGCCAACCUGACAGGACCAGUAAAAGAAAAAAGAAAGGAUCUGAACCUCCAGAUAGAAGUCAAAAGCGCAGAAAAACUGAAUAUUUUGUCCCCUCAACUCCAAUAUUAGAGGGGACUACAGCUCAAGUGAGAGGCUGGUCCUAUGGAAAUCUCCCUAAGAGAGAUGCACAACGAUUUUAUCGAACUGUACGUCGGAAAUAUAUUCUUUAUCUAUUUUAAGGCUCCUCGAACUGUUGAGCCGCAAAUAAUUGACAUUAUUCAUUGUACUUGAAGGUCAUGAAGUUUGGUAACCAUAAUCAAAUUGCAUGUAUUGCGGAAGAGGUGGGUGGUGUUGUUGAAGCAGCCCCGGAGGAAGCACAGGUUGAGCUAUUUGAUGCUUUAAUUGACGGUUGUCGGGAAUCUGUUGAAACAGAAGACUUUGAAUCAAAGGUAAAACAUCUGAACUGUGAGGCUCUUUUUUUUGGUUCCACCGAAAUAAUAUCUCCAAUCUUUCCUGUUUGCUAUUUUAAUGCAGGGUCCUGUGUUGGAUUUCUUUGGUGUGCCAGUAAAAGCAAACGAACUAUUGAAACGUGUGGAAGGACUCCAGCUCUUAUCAAAGCGUAUUAGUCGAUAUGACGAUCCAAUUACACAAUUCCGGGUGUUGUCCUACCUUAAACCUUCAAAUUGGUCCAAGGGUUGCGGUUGGAAUCAGAGUACGUGCGAGAGCGUAUUCAAUAUCUGUCUCGUCUUAUGUUCUUUCAUUCUAAAUCUUGUACAUGUUUGGGGUGUUGUCAGUUGAUGAUGCGAGAUUGCUUCUGGGGAUACUUUAUCAUGGUUUUGGGAACUGGGAGAAGAUAAGAUUAGAUGAGAGCCUUGGACUUACAAAGAAGAUUGCUCCUGUUGAACUUCAACACCAUGAGACUUUUUUACCUCGUGCUCCAAACCUAAAGGAGCGUGCUACUGCUCUUCUGGAAAUGGUGAAUAUUACUUGCUUAUAAUUUAUCUUCUUUUUUUUCAAAGUGUUCUUAAUAACAUUCGUUGCAAAUAACUUUUCGCAGGAACUUUCUGCGGCAGGAGGGAAAAACACAAAUGCCAAAGCAUCACGUAAAAAUUCAAAAAAGGUUGUCAUCAAUCAAUUGAAAGCACCUGCAAGAGACCGAAAAGGGAAAUCUGGUCCUGCCAAUCUAAUAACAAUAAAAGAUGUUGGACCUCGGAGAACCCAAAAAGCUGAGCCGCUGGUGAAGGAAGAGGGAGAAAUGUCUGAUGAUGAGGAAGUUUACGAGCAGUUUAAGGAGCAGAAAUGGAUGGAAUGGUGUGAGGAUGUAUUGGCUGGUGAAAUCAAAACACUUGAACGUCUACAAAGAUUG
rnacentral:lncRNA from 1 species